UACGGGGGGGGUAAGCGUUGUUCGGAAUUACUGGGCGUAAAGGGCUCGUAGGCGGCCAACUAAGUCGGACGUGAAAUCCCUCAGCUUAACUGGGGAACUGCGUCUGAUACUGGAUGGCUUGGAUUUGGGAGAGGGAUGCGGAAUUCCAGGUGUAGCGGUGAAAUGCGUAGAUAUCUGGAGGAAUACCGGUGGCGAAGGCGGCAUCCUGGACCGGCAUUGACGCUGAGGCGCGAAAGCCAGGGGAGCAAACGGG
rnacentral:rRNA from 1 species